CCCACAUGGUCUGCCCACUGUUGACCUCAUCACCCACAUGGUCUGCCCACUGUUGACCUCAUCACCCACAAGGUCUGCCCACUGUUGACCUCAUCACCCACAUGGUCUGCCCACUGUUGACCUCAUCACCCACAUGGUCUGCCCACUGUUGACCUCAUCACCCACAUGGUCUGCCCACUGGUCACCUCAUCACCCACAUAGUACAUCUCAGCACUUGUAUCCACCAUCAUCUUCAAAUGUAAGUUAUAUUGUUUAAUGUUUUUAUUUCUCAAUAAUUUUAUAAUAUUUAAAUAAACGAAAAGUAAU